AUUCUAUUUGAAUAAGGUAAGAAUCUGAGCUUUGGCUCAACUAUAU
rnacentral:sRNA from 1 species